UACGUAGGGCGCGAGCGUUGUCCGGAAUUAUUGGGCGUAAAGGGCUCGUAGGCGGUUUGUCGCGUCGGGUGUGAAAACCUUGGGCUUAACUCAGGGCUUGCUUUCGAUACGGGCAGACUAGAGGUAUGGAGGGGAGAACGGAAUUCCUGGUGUAGCGGUGAAAUGCGCAGAUAUCAGGAGGAACACCGGUGGCGAAGGCGGUUCUCUGGGCAUGAUCUGACGCUGAGGAACGAAAGUGUGGGGAGCGAACGGG
rnacentral:rRNA from 1 species